AAAACGGCCCUUUUCAGGGCCACUGAACGAUUCGUGUUUAAAGAGUU
rfam:Aedes albopictus isolate Foshan contig74831, whole genome shotgun sequence.